AGUUGUGGUGGUUUCUUUCUGGCACAUUUGUUAAAUUUCAAAUGGGCCUGACUCUACCACAUAUAUUAUACUGGAGCUAGCAAAGGCUUGAAGACAGAGAAUUCUCUCGAGCAUUUUCCUACAUCAAAGAUUGGCUCCCACAUGU
ensembl:snoRNA